UGGGGGAUAUUGCACAAUGGAGGAAACUCUGAUGCAGCAACGCCGCGUGAAGGAUGAAGGUCUUCGGAUUGUAAACUUUUGUACUUGGGGACGAUAAUGACGGUACCCAAGCAGCAAGCUCCGGCUAACUACGUGCCAGCAGCCGCGGUAAUACGUAGGGAGCAAGCGUUGUCCGGAUUUACUGGGUGUAAAGGGUGCGUAGGCGGCUAUGCAAGUCAGUUGUGAAACUAUGGGCUCAACCCAUAGCCUGCAAUUGAAACUGCGUGGCUUGAGUGAAGUAGAGGUAGGUGGAAUUCCCGGUGUAGCGGUGAAAUGCGUAGAGAUCGGGAGGAACACCAGUGGCGAAGGCGACCUACUGGGCUUUAACUGACGCUG
rnacentral:rRNA from 1 species